rnacentral:rRNA from 1 species
AGUCUGCAACUCGACUACAUGAAGCUGGAAUCGCUAGUAAUCGCAGAUCAGAAUGCUGCGGUGAAUACGUUCCCGGGUCUUGUACACACCGCCCGUCACACCAUGGGAGUCGGAAAUGCCCGAAGCCGGUGACCAAACCAAUAAGGAAGGAGCCGUCGAAGGCAGGUCUGAUAACUGGGUGAAGUCGUAACAAGGUAAC